rnacentral:rRNA from 1 species
AACGAACGCUGGCGGCAGGCUUAACACAUGCAAGUCGAGCGCCCCGCAAGGGGAGCGGCAGACGGGUGAGUAACGCGUGGGAACCUACCCUUUUCUACGGAAUAACGCAUGGAAACGUGUGCUAAUACCGUAUACGCCCUACGGGGGAAAGAUUUAUCGGAGAAGGCAGGGCCCGCGUUGGAGUAGCUAGUUGGUGGGGUAAAGGCCUACCAAGGCGACGAUCCAUAGCUGGUCUGAGAGGAUGAUCAGCCACAUUGGGACUGAGACACGGCCCAAACUCCUACGGGAGGCAGCAGUGGGGAAUAUUGGACAAUGGGCGCAAGCCUGAUCCAGCCAUGCCGCGUGAGUGAUGAAGGCCCUAGGGUUGUAAAGCUCUUUCACCGGAGAAGAUAAUGACGGUAUCCGAAGAAGAAGCCCCGGCUAACUUCGUGCCAGCCGCCGCCGUAA